rnacentral:SRP_RNA from 1 species
UCGCACUAGUCGGGGAGAUAGCGGUGCCCUCUGCCUGCAAUCCGCUACAGCAGGGAUGAAUUCCCACACCCGGGCAAGUUUUGAAUAUUGUCUGACCGUCGUAAGUGGUGUUGAGAGAUCGGUCUUGCGCAACGGGAUCCCGUGAACCAUGUCAGGUGGGGAACCAAGCAGCAUUAAGCGGAUCUUCUCGUGUGCCGCGGGGUUGCCGUUCUUGAGCUAACUGCGCCGGUAACAGAUAUUCAACUUGUUCAAAUGUGGGUGUGCGA